rnacentral:rRNA from 1 species
GUGUCAGCAGCCGCGGUAAUACGUAGGUGGCAAGCGUUGUCCGGAUUUACUGGGCGUAAAGGAUGCGUAGGCGGAUUUUUAAGUGAGAUGUGAAAUACCCGGGCUUAACUUGGGUGCUGCAUUUCAAACUGGAAAUCUAGAGUGCGGGAGAGGAAAGUGGAAUUCCUAGUGUAGCGGUGAAAUGCGUAGAGAUUAGGAAGAACACCAGUGGCGAAGGCGACUUUCUGGACCGUAACUGACGCUGAGGCAUGAAAGCGUGGGUAGCAAACAGGAUUAGAUACCCUGGUAGUCCACGCCGUAAACGAUGAGUACUAGGUGUAGGAGGUAUCGACCCCUUCUGUGCCGCAGUUAACACAAUAAGUACUCCGCCUGGGAAGUACGAUCGCAAGAUUAAAACUUAAAUGAAUUGGCGG